rnacentral:rRNA from 1 species
GCAAGAUUAAAACUCAAAGGAAUAGACGGGGACCCGCACAAGUGGUGGAGCAUGUGGUUUAAUUCGAAGAUACGCGAAGAACCUUACCUAGCCUUGACAUAUUUUAGAACUCAGCAGAGAUGCAGAGGUGCCUUCGGGAGCUAAUUUACAGGUGCUGCACGGCUGUCGUCAGCUCGUGUCGUGAGAUGUUGGGUUAAGUCCCGCAACGAGCGCAACCCUCGUCACUAGUUACUAACGGUUCGGCCGAGGACUCUAGUGAGACUGCCUUCGUAAGGAGGAGGAAGGUGAGGACGACGUCAAGUCAUCAUGGCCCUUACGGCUAGGGCAACACACGUGCUACAAUGGCCAGGACAGUGAGACGCAAUACCGCGAGGUGGAGCAAAUCUAUAAACCUGGUCUCAGUUCGGAUUGUUCUCUGCAACUCGAGAACGUGAAGCUGGAAUCACUAGUAAUCGUAGAUCAGCUAUGCUACGGUGAAUACGUUCCCGGGUCUUGUACUCACCGCCCGUCACACCAUGGGAGUUGAUUUCACCCGAAGCGGGGAAGCUAAACUGGCUACCCUCCACGGUGGAAUUAGCGACUGGGGUGAAGUCGUAACAAGGUA